UACGGAGGGGGCUAGCGUUGUUCGGAAUUACUGGGCGUAAAGCGCGCGUAGGCGGACCUGCAAGUCGGGGGUGAAAGCCCGAGGCUCAACCUCGGAACUGCCUUCGAUACUGCGGGUCUCGGAGUCCGGGAGAGGUGAGUGGGAAUUCCUAGUGUAGAGGUGAAAUUCGUAGAUAUUAGGAAGAACACCAGUGGCGAAGGCG
rnacentral:rRNA from 1 species